rnacentral:rRNA from 1 species
CCUACGGGCGGCAGCAGUGAGGAAUAUUGGACAAUGGAUGGAAAUCUGAUCCAGCCAUGCCGCGUGCAGGAAGACGGCCCUAUGGGUUGUAAACUGCUUUUCUACGGGAGCAAUAAGGUCUACGCGUAGACUGAUGAGAGUACCGUAGGAAUAAGCAUCGGCUAACUCCGUGCCAGCAGCCGCGGUAAUACGGAGGAUGCGAGCGUUAUCCGGAUUUAUUGGGUUUAAAGGGUGCGUAGGCGGCUUUUUAAGUCAGCGGUGAAAUUUUGCAGCUUAACUGUAACAGUGCCGUUGAUACUGGGGAGCUAGGAUUUGGUUGCUGUGGGUGGAAUGUGUGGUGUAGCGGUGAAAUGCUUAGAGAUCACACAGAAUAUCGAUUGCGAAGGCAGCUCACAAAGCCAAGAUUGACGCUGAGGCACGAAAGUGUGGGGAUCAAACAGGCUUAGAUACCCGAGUAGUC